GCUGGGCAUGGUGAUGCAUGCCUGUAAUCCCAGCUACUCGGGAAGCUGAGGCAGAAGACUCACUUAAACCCAGGAGACUGAGGUUGCAGUGAGCCAAGAGAUCACGUCACUGCACUCCAGCCUGGGUGACAGAGUGAGACUCCAUCUCAG
rnacentral:sRNA from 1 species